UAUUAGCUUGGUGCAAAAGUAAUUGAGGUUUUUGCCAUUGAGAGUAAUGGCAAAAACUGCAAUUACUUUUGCACCAAACUAAUA
rnacentral:pre_miRNA from 1 species